UCUCAAAAUACUAUGGAUUGUUAAAGUAGAAAACUGGAACCUCAUGGGGCCAUUUUAGAUCCUCAACAGGUCUGGGCUUGAUGUUCACCAAUUUUCCCUUAGCUCCGACUGUGGCUCCUCUCAGCGGACCCCGAUCCUGCUCUCUGCAGGGCUGGCCUGCCCAUCACAGCACAUCAAUAAACAGCAGAGGGAAACUACCACCUUGGAGGGAGCCAGGCAGUUUCUGCUGGGCGGGCCAGGCCCAGAGCAUGGAAGCAGCUUCUUCCAUCCCACACUGGAAACCACCCAGCACCCCCGGCCCUCCUUAGAGAGGAGCCAGACUCCCUUCCCCAGGAAGACACUAUAGUCCUAUCUGUGUCCUCCGUGGUCAUUGCCCCUCAGUCACAGUAAGGAAGAACAAAUUACCUGUUUUCUGCAUGUUCCUCUGACAUAAACUACCACAGAGUAAAUAUGAAAGGUUCUGGA